GACGAACGCUGGCGGCGUGGAUUAGGCAUGCAAGUCGAACGGUAGGUGCCCUUCGGGGUACUGAGAGUGGCGAACGGGUGAGUAACACGUAGGUGAUCUACCCUCAAGACGGGGACAACCCAGGGAAACUUGGGCUAAUACCGGAUGAUAGCAUCCUUCGGGAUGUUUAAAGAUGGCUUCGGCUGUCGUUUGGGGAUGAGCCUGCGCUCUAUUAGUUAGUUGGUGAGGUAAUGGCUUACCAAGGCGAUGAUAGAUAGGCGGCCUUAACGGGUGGUCGCCCACACUGGGAUUGAGAUACGGCCCAGACUCCUACGGGUGGCAG
rnacentral:rRNA from 1 species